rnacentral:rRNA from 1 species
CCAACAGGGAUUGCCUUAGUAACGGCGAGUGAAGCGGCAAAAGCUCAAAUUUGAAAUCUGGCGCCUCUGGUGUCCGAGUUGUACUUUGGAGAGGCAUCUUCCGGAGGGGCCCAGCCUAUGUGCCUUGGAACAGGACGUCAUAGAGGGUGAGAAUCCCGUCCUUGGCUGGAUGUUCCCUCCUGUAUGUAGUGUCUUCUACGAGUCGAGUUGUUUGGGAAUGCAGCUCAAAAUGGGUGGUAAAUUUCAUCUAAAGCUAAAUAUUGGCGAGAGACCGAUAGCGCACAAGUAGAGUGAUCGAAAGAUGAAAAGCACUUUGAAAAUAGAGUCAAACAGUACGUGAAAUUGUUGAAAGGGAAGCGCUUGAGAUCAGAGUCAGCCUUUGGCAAACAACUAUCCUUCUGAAUGGUGCACUUGUCAUUGGUUGGGCCAGCAUCGGUUGGGACGGCAGGAUAAAGGCCCAGGGAAUGUGACUCCUUUAUGGAGUGUUAUAGCCCCAGGCAU